rnacentral:snoRNA from 1 species
AAGACUAUACUUUCAGGGAUAAUUUAUAUAGUUUGUUACUAGAGUAGUUUCUCUGGUCAUAUAAAAUGCCAGAAACCAUGAGGAGGAGGUACAGCAUUCCCUCCAGGGUGCGAAGCAGACUCGUGGUGUUGCUUUUUGACACAGCUGUCAUUUGCCAUUGAAAAUGUUCUUGUUUUCCUCUGGGGAAGUUACAGGAGGGAGAUGAUACAGUCUGAGUGGU